rnacentral:rRNA from 1 species
CCUACGGGAGGCAGCAGUGAGGAAUAUUGGUCAAUGGACGAGAGUCUGAACCAGCCAAGUAGCGUGAAGGAUGACUGCCCUAUGGGUUGUAAACUUCUUUUAUAUGGGAAUAAAACGUUCCACGUGUGGGAUUUUGUAUGUACCAUAUGAAUAAGGAUCGGCUAACUCCGUGCCAGCAGCCGCGGUAAUACGGAGGAUCCGAGCGUUAUCCGGAUUUAUUGGGUUUAAAGGGAGCGUAGGUGGAUUGUUAAGUCAGUUGUGAAAGUUUGCGGCUCAACCGUAAAAUUGCAGUUGAAACUGGCAGUCUUGAGUACAGUAGAGGUGGGCGGAAUUCGGGGUGUAGCGGUGAAAUGCUUAGAUAUCACGAAGAACUCCGAUUGCGAAGGCAGUUCACUGGACUGCAACUGACACUGAGGCUCGAAAGUGUGGGUAUCAAACAGGAUUAGAUACCCGAGUAGUC